rnacentral:lncRNA from 1 species
UUUUUGGAGCACACAAUCCANCGGAACCGAUCGAAGAGCAGUCUCGCGAAGUCUUUCAAAAGGCAAGCUCCAUAUAGACAAAAACGAUCGAGGACAGUUCUUUGAGACUGUGAACCAGGACUGAACGCCAAGACAAAAGGGAGCAGAGAGUGUGAUACUGCAACUCCUGAAGUUCUGGGAAAAAGGACAUUGAGCCUAGAGUGGAAGGUACUGGAGGUAUUGAAAAGAGAAGACUAAACGGCAUAUGGUUCCUAUGAGAAAGGUUCUUAAGUCUGGACAAAUUCAGAUCGGGCAUGACUUAACUACGAUCACAAUACGUCAACCACUGAUCUCGCUAUCACGAGUUCAAAGCCUUAGCGGCACCAAUAAAGUGCCUAAAUAGGAAACAAAUAAUUGAAUUUCGGCAAAACAAGCCAAGGUUUUUUGUUCUCUUUAGGAUAGGAGACUCAUGCGCGGAGCCUGGGACCGCCAUCCCGGCACCGACUCAAUAGCGAACAAUUGAAAAGAGUUUUUUAUUCAAACAAAGCGGAGAACGUUUGUUUUGUGUUCUUUUUAUGAAAUGUUUUCGCUAAUUAAAGCUUUAACCACAAAAACCAUUUGCCUUUCUUGCAUAAAACCCUCUAUAUUAACCUUUUGCCCUGGCCAAAACCACGUCUAGUCAAUGAACAAGUAAAACACUUUAGUUUGAAAUAGCUGUGACAGGUUUUGUCGCAUGUGGACCAAUACAACCCUUUUAUUGUUAUUCUUUCUGUUCAAUCGAGGAAGUGAAUUUUGCGUUGUAAGGCAACAAAACCUUCAAUGAUUUCCGCAGUGUCCAAGAAAUUUAAUAUCCUCGCUUCCAAAACACUGGAAUUCGUUUCUUCCUAAUUGCUUUUCUCCAUGCCAAAGAUCUAAGUCUCCAAUCAAAGGGAAACAUCAUACCUCAUUAUUAUCAGAAAUGAUAAACAAAUUAAGGUUCAAAUUGGUUGUAUGACUGAGGUUGAUUGGGUGUAAAAUGCAGAUCUUCAGUGGAGACUGAUAAGGUGCUAAAUAAUAAGUGCACGUCGAUACUUAGCACCGAAAACAUUGCAAGAAGUACAAAUAUGAAGGGACAUAACAAAUAUUUAGACAACUAAAAGUCUAUGGGAUUAUCAGAUCUUGGAAUGUAAUUCCUAGUGUCUUAGUGUUGGCCGAGAAAAUAAAGAUGUCUCGACGGAAUGCUAAUACGUCGACGGUUGAUCUA